rnacentral:rRNA from 1 species
AUACGUAGGGCGCGAGCGUUGUCCGGAAUUACUGGGCGUAAAGAGCUCGUAGGUGGUUUGUCGCGUCGUCUGUGAAAUUUCCGGGCUUAACUCCGGGCGUGCAGGCGAUACGGGCAUAACUUGAGUACUGUAGGGGAGACUGGAGUUCCUGGUGCAGCGGUGAAAUGCGCAGAUAUCAGGAGGAACACCGGUGGCGAAGGGGGGUCGCUGGGCAGUAACUGACGCUGAGGAGCGAAAGCAUGGGUAGCGAACAGGAUUAGAUACCCUGGUAGUCCAUGCCGUAAACGGUGGGCGCUAGGUGUAGGGGUCUUCCACGACUUCUGUGCCGUAGCUAACGCAUUAAGCGCCCCGCCUGGGGAGUACGGCCGCAAGGCUAAAACUUAAAGGAAUUGACGGGG